AUUAAACGCUGGCGGCAUGCCUUACACAUGCAAGUCGAACGGCAGCACGGGGGCAACCCUGGUGGCGAGUGGCGGACGGGUGAGUAAAGCAUCGGAACGUAUCCUGGAGUGGGGGAUAACGUAGCGAAAGUUACGCUAAUACCGCAUAUUCUGUGAGCAGGAAAGCAGGGGAUCGCAAGACCUUGCGCUCUGGGAGCGGCCGAUGUCGGAUUAGCUAGUUGGUGGGGUAAGGGCCUACCAAGGCGACGAUCCGUAGCGGGUCUGAGAGGAUGAUCCGCCACACUGGGACUGAGACACGGCCCAGACUCCUACGGGAGGCAGCAGUGGGGAAUUUUGGACAAUGGGCGCAAGCCUGAUCCAGCCAUGCCGCGUGAGUGAAGAAGGCCUCGGUU
rnacentral:rRNA from 1 species